rnacentral:rRNA from 1 species
CCCCUAGAUGUUCUGGGCCGCACGCGCGCUACACUGAAUAGUUCAACAAGUCUUAACCUUGGCCGAUAGGUCUGGGUAAUCUUUGAACGCUGUUCGUGAUUGGGAUAGACCUUUGCAAUUAUGGGUCUUCAACGAGGAAUUCCUAGUAAACGCAAGUCAUCAGCUUGCAUUGAUUACGUCCCUGCCCUUUGUACACACCGCCCGUCGCACCUACCGAUUGAAUGGUCCGGUGAAAUCUCGGGACGGCGGCUUGGUCGCUUGCGUCCGACUGCUGAAACUUGAUUAAACCAUAUCAUUUAGAGGAAGGUGAANUCGUANCA